CAAUUCCAUAGCAAUAUUGCAUAUUAAGGUUAGUACAAACUUGAGACACUUAUUUUUGGACGGAGGGAGUAUUUGAUAGUAUAUAUGUUGAUAUAUUGCGCGCUCCCGCAAGCCUAGCCCGCAGCACGCUCCCGCAAGCCUAGCCGCGCCGGUGACCACCCCUUCCCGCGCCGCUCACCACUUCGGUGGCGGCGGCCACCGUCCCCUUCUCCCGUUGCCAUGGCUUCGCGGGUUUCCCUUUCGGGCUCCUCUUCCUCGGAGUCCUCCCCUGCUCUCCCGUCCCCGCCGGCGUCGCGGGCGCGGGCGCGGGCCCCCUCCCCACCUCCGCAGGUCCGCCUCCAGCCGCGGUCCAUCAUCGUCCCUCUGGUGGUCGGCACGGCUUUUGGCCCGCUGAUCCAGGGUGGUGGGGCGGGCCCUCUGGAGGACCGCCGCCGCCGGGUGCUGGGGGCUGGCAGGUGAAGCGGAGUCGCCGUCCGCGGGGCCGUCCGUCCCGGCUGCCCCAACGACGUCGGAACCCUCCCCGGCAGCGCGUGCUCGCUGCACCUCGGCCGCCGCCAACCUCGAGGGUGCCGGUUGAGCUCCUGCUGCUACAACUGCGGUAGCAACGACGGGCACAUCUCGGUGGAAUGCAGGAAUCCCAGUUUCUGCGUGCGGUGCCGUGGGCACGGCCACAGCUCGCGGGGUUGCACCCGCCCCUCAGUCCUUCCCCGGUCGACCAGCCGCCGCGCCCUCCUCCUGCUCUGCGUUCCAGGGCGGCGGCUCCCGCAACCCCGGCCCCAUCCCCGUCGCGAGUUUCGCCCAUGCGCCCCUGUGCGGUUCUGCCUCCCCCACCUCCUGGCCCCCCUCCGCCCGGGGCUGUCCGGCUGCGGAGCCAUGUCGUGCAGGCGCCGCAGGCGAGGACGGCGGAGUCCGUGGCGAGCCGCGUUGGCCCGGGUUUCUUGGCCCCCUUUGGGAGCGUGGGUGUGCCCUUGCCGCGGGUGGAUCUUGGCUCGUCGGAGUCGGUGGAGGCAUGCUUUCUGGAGGCCUCUGAGGAUAUCUGGCGGAUGGAGGCGGAGCUCACCCGGGCGGUGCUGGUGUCGGUCACGGGCGUGCGCCCGGAGGUGGAUUUGGCGUCGGCAGCGGAAGCGCUGCACGCGGAGUUUGAGGUUGGCCCUGAGGCCAUGUCCAUUCGGCCCUUCUUCCCCGACGAUUUCCUUGUGCUCUGCCGUGAUGGAGCGCUUCGUGAUCGCAUGGUGCGCUCCGGUCGGGCGUCUUCUUCCUGGUUCGACCUCUCCCUCAGGCCAUGGAUCCGGCAGGCGCAAGCCACGGCGGUCUUCCUCCCCUACCUCGUGCCGAUCUCUCUUCGGGGUGUGCCCGCCCAUGCGUGGUGUCAGAGGCCGGCGAGUGCGGUCCUGCGGGGCCUUGGCUUCGUGGUGGGCGUGGAUGAUGGCACGGCCAGGCGCCAUGACAUGGCAGAUUUCCGCGUCUGGCUGCGCACGGACCGGCCGCAACAGAUCCCGCGGCGCCGGUUGCUCUUCAUCGACGAGCCGAGCCGCACACUGUGGGCGGCGGAGGCGGACGGUGGACGCUCGGUUGGCAGGAUGGCGCAUACCCUGCAGUACCCAAUCGAGAUCACGGUGCUAGGUGAGCCCGUGCUGGUGGAUGGUGACGAGCCCGAGGCGAGGUUUCCGCCGCCCCCAUCGCCGCCGUCGGAUGGGGACUCGGGGCCUGGGCGUAGGUCGGGCUCUGCCUCGGCAAGGCGGUCUGGUUUCGGAGGCGAUGGCCGCUCGGGGGCGGGCGCUGCUGGCUCCUCCGCGCCGGCGGCGGCGUCGCCCGCGGUCCCGCAGACCCAGUUUCAAAUUGGGACUGGGGUGGCGUCACCCCCGCAUGCGCUGACGCGGGUCCGGCCCACCCCUGACGUCGCUGGUUUGGAUAUGGUGGGGGAUCCUAUCGUUGAGCGACAAGUGGAAAGUGUUGAUGGUGAGGCAGUCGAGGAGGAUAUGCUCUGCCGCGUUGGGCUGGCAUCCAUGACGGUGGAGAUGCGGUCGCCCCAGGCUUCUGCACAGCUUUUCAGACCUGGGGCCAUGGUGGUGUCUCGGGAUCCGCGGCAACAGCUGCUGGACCGAUUGCCAGCUUCGGUCUGCAUGGCCUGUUGGGCAGGAUCCGAGGGAACGGCUCUCCAGGACGGCGUGAAUCCCUUGGCAGCUGGCGAUGAUUGGGUGAGUGGGCCGCUUCUUAUUGGCUCGGUGGAGAUCCUGUCGGGGACCCCGGCUGUCAUGGCCAGGAGUGGCCGGCCGCUUUCCGAUGGAGGCUUUUUGACCCCGCGGUCUCUUUCCUUGACCCCGGGGUCUGCUUUCUCGCCAUCUGAGGCGGGCGUGCUGCGGAGGCAGGCGGUGGGAUCGGAGCGCUCCUCUGAUUGGUUCUUGGUCAGCCUGUCGCCACCAGACAAGGGCCCGCGUGGGCCAGCCAGCCCUUCACCGGGCCCGCUCCUAUGCAGUCCCCCGCAUGCGGUCUCGGGGCCGGACCAUGGUGGAGCCCAGCUAGAAGAGAGGGAGAGGAGCCCCCUGGCCCAUGCACCAGGUGCAGGCGGCAGCCCUGUGGAGGUUCUCGGGGGGUCACUGAGCGGUGAUGUUUUGCAUGUGCAUGAGGGUGGGGCCCAGCUGCCUACCCCUCUGCCUAUUUCGCCCAGGGCAGCGGCGCAUGCCUUCUGCGAGGAGAUUCAGAGGCAGAUUUCCCCCAUUCUGGCUGCUCCUGAGGCCCCCAAGUCACGCCGGCCGCGGAAGCGCAACGUUCCCGCGGGUUCUCCACGAAGAAGCGCCAGAAUCGCAAAGAGCAAAAGGCCCUUCGUGGCCUCCAAGCAGCAGCAAGUCCUCAUUCGCAAACUUUGCUUGGCCAAUGAAGGGGAGGUGAUCGGGGAGGAGGCGUUGAAGAUGUACGUCGACUUGUUCAGCAGGCCUUUGGCGGACACCCGCAUUGCUGCCAUCUUGGCACUAUUUGGUUGGGAGCCUUCGGUGCUGCCAGUGGUGGUGUUGCUGGAGCUAGAGGAGGCAGCGGCUUGAGUGGAGGCGGCGAGCGGGGCGUGAUGUAGGCCUUUCCCAUGGCUACACACCCCAUCAAGGUGCUGGUGUGGAAUGUCCGCGGUCUUAACGACCCGGCACGAAGAAGCGCGAUUUACCAAGUGGUCACGGCGGCCAAUCCUAGCAUAGUGUGUUUUCAGGAAACUAAGAUGGAAGUUGUAUCUCAGGGUGUGGUGGCACAUUGUUUGGGCAAUAAACUAGCAAAUUUCUACUAUCUCCCGGCCUCUGGUACUCGUGGUGGGAUCCUUUUGGCCUGGGACCCCCUUGUGGUCCAACUCUCCAACCCGCACUACACGGAGAACAUGGUCACCGUGCUCGUUACGCCGGUUGGGACAUCCUCACACUGGUGGAUUUCAGGGGUGUACGGCCCUACCAUGGAUGCGCAAAAGGUUGAGUUCAUGCAGGAGCUAGUUGACAUCCGUGAGCUCAUUGCCGGGCCGUGGGUAGUUUUGGGAGACUUUAACCUCCUUGCGAACCCGGAGGACAAAAGCAAUGAUCACAUCAAUAGGCGCAUGAUGGUGCGGUUUAGGUCUAAGCUCAACUCCCUUGAGCUAAAGGAGGUUUACCUCAAUGGUCGGAGGUACACGUGGUCGAAUGAGCGUGGGCGGGCCACCCUUGAAAAGCUAGAUCAUAUCUUCACCACGGUGGAUUGGGAGGAGCUGCACCCGUCCUGUUUUCUCUCAGCUUUGGGUCCGGCUGUCUCGGAUCACUACCCUCUUCUGCUGGACUUGCAUGCUGACUUUAAGGUGGGCAAGCGCUUUCGCUUCGAAGCCUUCUGGCCGAAGGCCAAGGGGUUUCGCAAUGUGGUGCAGACGGCGUGGAAUUCAGUGCCCUCUGUGGGCAACCCCUAUGUGGUUCUUGAUAGCAAGCUCAGAGUAACUGCGAAGGCUCUGCAAAGUUGGAGCGAAAGGUGGAUUGGAAACGUUAAGCUGCAGAUUGCGCUAGCUCUUGAGGUUAUCCUUCGGUUGGAUGUGGCGAUGGAGAUGAGGCUGCUUUCGAAGGGGGAAGUUGCCCUUAGACGGACCAUGAAAAGAAAGCUCCUCGGCUUGUGCUCUCUGGAGAGGUCUAUCGCGCGUCACCGCUCCAGGUUGACGUGGCUCCGUGAUGGAGAUGCUAGUUCGCAGUUCUUCAAGCAGCACGCCAGCCACAGGAGGCGAUGUAAUGCCAUUAUGAGUCUUAAGUGCAACGACAAUUUCUUCACUGGCCAGGAGGAAAUCGCGGAGGUGGUAGAUGGUUACUAUGAGGAGAUCCUUGGCCGGGCCUCGCAGCGUGCUAAUGGCCUCAAUCUCGACCUCUUGGGUCUCCCACGCCUGGAGCUCGCGCACCUUGAGCUGCCCUUUCUAGAAGAUGAGGUUGCGAAGAUAAUCAAAGCUAUGCCGAGGGAUAAGGCGCCAGGGCCGGAUGGUUUUACGGGACGGUUCUAUGCCAGCUGUUGGGAUAUCAUCAAAGGAGAUUUCAUGAGAGCACUAGAUAGUUUCCAUAGAGGGGACAUGCGUGGGCUGGCUGCCAUCAAUAGGGCAUACGUCACGCUAAUCCCUAAAAAGGAUGGUGCGAAAGAGAUUAGGGAUUUUCGCCCUGUCAGCUUGGUGCACGGUGCAGCAAAGAUCUUUGACAAGAUUUUAUUGGUCCGGCUUACGGACGAUUUGCCCAAGCUCGUGGGAUGCCACCAGAGUGCCUUCGUCCGUGGCCGCUCGAUUCACGAUAAUUUCAUGAUGGUUCAAGGGACUGUUAGGAAACUGCACGUCUGAAGAAUGCCUUUGUCAUGGUUAAGCUUGACAUCUCCAAAGCUUUUGACACGGUGCAGUGGCCCUUUGCUAUUGAGGUGCUCUCUUCUAUGGGUUUUGGACGAAGGUGGAUUGACUGGAUCAUUGGCCUACUCUCUACCUCCUCCACGCGGGUGCUUGUGAAUGGGGUGACGGGCACACAGAUUUGCAAUACAAGAGGUUUCAGGCAGGGUGGGCCUCUUUCUCCCAUGCUAUUCAUCCUGAUGAUGGAGCCGCUGCAACGGCUCUUCUCCCUUGCUGCUGACAGGGGUUUGCUCGCCCCCCUUGCGCGACCCGGACUGCAUCAGAGAGUGUCCAUCUUUGCGGACGAUGUCAUUCUUUUCCUUAAGCCGGUGGAGACCAAGAUGCGACUCUGUGUAGACCUGUUGGAUGCCUUUGGUCAGGUGUCGGGCCUUCGAGUGAAUCUAGCCAAAACUUUGGCCGUGCCCAUAAGGUGUUCAGAAGACCAAUUAAGGUUCAUCGCAGCUUCCUUGGGAUGCACGAUUGGGGCUUUCCCGUGAAAAUAUUUGGGUCUCCCCUUGAGCAUCCGAAAGCUGUCGGCCUUGCAACUAUAUGACUUGGUUCAUCAGGUGGUGCGCAUGCUGCCUCACUGGAAGGGGGCGAUGCUGCCCAUAAGCAGCCGGCUUACGCUUAUCGAGUCUGUUCUUUGCGCUAUCCCGAUACAUGCGAUGCUGGCGCUCAACAUACUGCAGAAGACGAUCAAGGCUAUUUCGAAGAUUUGUCGGGGCUUUCUCUGGUGCGGGAAAGCGGAGGCCAAUGGUGGCCAGUGCAAGGUUGCGUGGAGAUUGGUCUGUGUGCCCAAGCGGGCGGGAGGGCUCGACAUUCCGGACCUCUCAUGGCUUAACCAUGCCCUUCAAGCCCGCUGGCCAUGGCUUCAGCGCACGGAUGCCUCACGACCGUGGGCGGAGUUUGACACUGAGGUUUCCCACGAGGCUUGCCAGAUCUUUCAGGCCGCGACGAGCACGAGAGUUGGCAGUGGCAAGAAUGCGUUGUUCUGGGAAGACAGGUGGAUCCAGGGCAUGAGGGUGCAGGACCUCACGCCAGGCCUGUACAUGCGGGUGCGAAAGAAGGUCUGAGCUGCCCGCACCGUCUUCGAGGCUAUGAGCAAUGGGGCAUGUGCCCUAGAUAUUGGGCCAGAUUUAGACACCACGUUGCUUUCUGAGGUGUUCGAGCUCUGGGAGAGGGUUAUGGAGGUGGAGCUCUGGCCUGAAAUAGAGGAUUCGACUGCAUGGGCUUGGGAGGCGAACGGGAUCUACUCUGCUCGAUCGGCAUAUGUGGCUAAGUUUUGGGGAAUGGAAUCUGCACCGUUUGCGGAGAUGGCCUGGAGCUCAAAAGCGCCGAGGCAGUGCCGAUUUUUUGCUUGGCUGGCGGGAAGAAAUAGAUGCUGGACCUUGGACCGCCUAGCUCGCCGCGGCCUGCCCCACCAGGCUGCUUUCCCCUUGUGCGACCAAAAGCCGGAGACUGUGAAUCAUGUGCUCAUCUAGUGCGUUUUCGCCAGAGUAGUGUGGCACCAGGUGUUUGCCGCGCUCGGUAGACCGGAGCUCACUCCGGAGGCUGGCGACACGGUGGUGGAGUGGUGCAAUGCCUGCGCCCAGAGGGCCCCCUCCAAGAAGGAAGCGAAGGACAUACAGACCAUGGCGUCACUGGUUUUAUGGGAACUCUGGACGCACCGAAAUGCGAUCGUUUUUGAGGGGGCGACCCCUUCUGCCACGGUGGUGAUCGCUAGGGUUGAGUGCGAUGUUGAACCUGUAAUCCUUUGCCUGUUAGGAUAGUUUUUGCUUUCAGUUAGCUGAAUAACCGGCUCUGACUCGUGUGCAUGUACACGCAGAAGCUGUUUUCGUUUUCAGUUAGUAGCUAGCUAGAUUAGUGCGGCCGUUGUGAGCGCAUGGGAUGGCAUGCAGCGUAGGACUCGGCCUGCACUCACCUCGCGCACGACGGGCGACGUGGGAUGGCACGUCCGGUAGGCUCGGCGGCGUGGAGGGUUUUUCGUUUCCCAGUUGAUGUACAAAUAAGCUGAAGAUUAAUGAGAAAAGCUGUUGAACUGUGCGCAGCACAAAAACCUCUGGCGUUUUCGUUUUCCUCUCUUUUCUCCUCGGCGAUCGUGAUCUAGGCCUCGCCGGAGCUCUCGGCUCCAACAAGUGGCAUCAGAGCCGCGUAGCUCCUCGGUGACCAUGGCCGGCUUGACUUCCCCGGCAAACGCUGCAGCCCACCAGCGCGACGGCAGCGACAGUGGUGGCGCGCUCUCGCCGACUCCCGACCGCGGUCGUAGCCGUGGUCGCAGCCGCACCCGCCGGUACGGCAAGGAGGUCGUCGUCCACGAGCGCACGGUCCAGGAGCGUCUCGUCCCGAGCGGCACCACCGUGUGGCCAAUGCUCACGCCGACAAACUACUUCGAGUGGUCUAUGUUGAUGCAGAUUAACAUGGAGGCCAACUUGAUGUGGGACGCGGUGGAAAGGAACCCGUCGAGCGUCCCCAACGACAAGGCGGCGCUGGCGGCCAUUCUGCGAUCCAUACCGCCGGAGAUGGUGGGUGCGAUCGUGGUUAAGAAGACCGCAAAGGAGGCAUGGGAUACGAUCAAGACCAUGCACAUGGGAGUCGCGCGCGUGCACGAGGCCACGGCGCAACGGCUGCGCUCCGAGUUUGAGGCCAUCGCAUUCCGCGACGGCGAGACGCUUGACGCAUUCAGCAUGCGGAUCACUUCACUCGUCAACAACCUGCGCUCGCUCGGCGACACCAUGGAAGAGGUGAGGGUGGUUCGGAAAUUCCUGCGCGUCGUCCCGCCCCGCUACAUGCAGAUCGCCCUCGCCGUCGAGAUGAUGCUCGACCUCAACACGCUUUCAGUUGAGGAGCUCGUCGGCUGUCUGCGCUCUGCGGAGGAGCGCUACCUCACCAACGAUCAAGGUGGAGGCGGCGGGGCUCAGCUCCUGAUGACGGAGGCGCAAUGGCACGCGCGCAAGAAUCAGCGCGGCCAAGGGCAGGGCAGCAGCCAGAACGGCGGCCAAGGAGGCCUCGGCGGACCAGGCGGGUCCGGCGGACAAGGCGGCGGCUCAAGUCGUCGCCGCGGCAAGCCACGUCGAGGCGGUGGCCAAGGCGGUGGCGGAAACGGCGUCCGUGAUGGCGCGCCGCACGGGGAACGCGACAUGUCUCAGGUGAAGUGCUACAAUUGCAAUAAACCUGGGCAUUUCUCGAAGCACUGCACCGAGCCGCGCCGUGAACGCAAGGAUCAGGCGAACCUUGCGGUGGCGGGCAACCAAGAUGAUGAGGCGACUCUUCUGCUCGCCACGGUCACCGCGCUCACGGUCACGACUGAGCGCCCGGUCGAGCGGGUUCUUCUCAACGAGGAACGCUCCCAGGCGCGCGUUGCCCAGGAGGGCGGCACCUGCGACACCUCCUGGUAUCUGGACAUCGGGGCUAGCAAUCAUAUGUCCGGUCGCCGCGAGAUCUUCUCCGAGCUUGACGUGGGAGCGCGGGGGACCGUGAGGCUCGGCGACGGCUCCAGUGUGCAGAUCGAGGGGAGAGGGACGAUCCUCUUCAAGUGCCGCAGCGGGGAACACCUGACGCUUGCAGAGGUAUACUACAUACCCCGUCUGUGCAUCAACAUCAUGAGCAUUGGUCAGAUGAAUGAGCUCGGCUGCGAGACGGUGAUCCACGACAGGGUCCUUCGCCUCCGCAAUCCGGAUGGGCGGCUGCUCGCGCGCGCGGCGCAUAACGUCGAGCGUCUCUACGUCCUUCCCCUGGCGCUAACCAAGCCGGUGUGCCUGCUGGCGAGCGGCGACGACACGGCAUGGCUGUGGCAUUCGCGCUACGGCCACCUGAACUUCAGGGCGCUGCGCGAACUCGCGCGCCUGGAGAUGGCAAAUGGCAUGCCCCUCGUCGACCGCGUCGACCAGUACUGCGACGGAUGCGCCCUGGGCAAGUAGCAUCGGCUCCCAUUCCCGCAGGCCUCGGCGUACCGCGCGGAGCAUGCGCUCGAGCUCGUCCACACGGACCUCUGUGGUCUGAUCGAGCCGGCGACGACCGGAGGUAAUCGAUAUUUCCUGCUGGUAGUUGAUGAUCACUCACGUUACAUGUGGCUGGAGGUGAUCAAAUCCAAGGAUGAGGCGUUUCAACGUUUCAAAAGGAUCAAGGCCCUUGCUGAAGCUGAAUCUGGGCGCCGGCUCAUGGCGUUCCGCUCCGAUCGGGGCGGGGAGUUCAACUCCACAUAAUUCCGUCUGUACUGUGAGGAUGGAGGGAUCAAGCACUGCACCACCGCGCCAUACACGCCGCAGCAAAACAGUGUGGUCGAGAGGCGCAACCAGACCGUGGUGGAGAUGGCGCGGUGCCUGCUCAAGAGCAUGGCCGCGCCCGCCAUGUUUUGGGGCGACGCGGUCAAGACCGCGGUUUACCUGCUCAAUCGAUCCCCCACGCGCAGCGUCGACGGGCAGACGCUGUACGAAGCGUGGCACAAGAAGAAGCCGGCGGUCCAUCACCUGCGCACAUUCCGGUGCGUUGCCCACGUCAAGCGAGUCGGCCCCGACAUCGACAAACUGGCCGACCGCUCAACGCCGAUGAUUUUCAUCGGCUACGCCAAAGGAGCCAAGGCAUACAGGGUGUUUGAUCCGGCCACGAACAAGGUGCACGUCACGCGUGAUGUCGUUUUUGAAGAACAGAGGAAGUGGGACUGGACGCCGGUGCCAGGCGCUGCGGCGACUCCCAAGGACGAACACUUUGUGGUCGUCUACAACGACGAACAGAGCGUCGACAUGCAGCCUUCCUCGUUGAGCUCAGACAGGUCGUCCUCGUCAUCCUCUUCACCAAGCUCCUACGCGCCGGGGAGCUGUCCGACUACACCGAUAACGCCAGCGUGCUCUCCAACCCCUGAUGACGACGGCUGGGCUACGCCGCCUAGUGACGACUGGGAGCGGCACGACCUCGACCAUGCGCCAACGCGCUACCGCAAGAUGACACAUGUACUGGCUGAGGUAGAAGUGGCGAGAGAAGACCAAGUGGGUCUCUGCCUCAUCGCUACUGAAGAACCCGCUGGCGUCGAUGAAGCGCUGGAGGAGGCGUGCUGGAUGCGCGCCAUGGACGCCGAGUUGGUCGCGAUCCGUGAGAACAAGACCUGGGAGCUCGCCGCGCUCCCGCCUGGGCACCGAGCGAUAGGGCUCAAAUGGGUGUUCAAGGUCAAGAGGGAUCCCGCCGGCAAGAUUGUGAAGCAUAAGGCGCGUUUGGUGGCGAAGGGCUACUCGCAGCGGCAAGGCGUGGAUUACGACGAGGUGUUCGCGCCGGUAGCUCGCAUGGAAACAGUGCGGCUACUGCUGGCGUUGGCAGCGCGGCAAGGGUGGCAAGUCCAUCACAUGGACGUCAAGUCGGCAUUCUUGAAUGGUUACCUGAUCGAGGAAGUCUACGUCCACCAGCCACCGGGUUUUGUCAUCGCCGGCGAGGAAGGAAAGGUGCUGCGUCUCCGGAAGGCCUUGUACGGUCUGAAACAGGCGCCCCGAGGGUGGUACGCCAAGCUGGACACGUCGCCUGCGCCGCUCGGGUUCGAGCGCAGCCCCCUCGAGCAUGCGGUGUACAGGAGGAGCACCGGCGCGGGGACACUGCUGGUCGGCAUGUACGUGGACGAUCUGAUCAUCACCGGCAGCAGCAUCGACGACAUCAAGGAGCAGAUGAGCAGUGUGUUUGACAUGAGUGAUCUCGGCCUCCUGAGCUAUUAUCUUGGGAUCGAGGUACGACAGAAGGACGGAGAGAUCACUCUCUGUCAGAGCGCGUACGCCAUGAAGAUCCUCGAAGCUGCUGCGAUGAGGGGGUGCAACGCUAGCGACACUCCUAUGCAGAAUCGUCUCCAGCUGUCCAAGACUGGGGCUGGCGACGCCGUGGAUGCCACACGGUACAGAAGCGUCGUCGGCAGCCUUCGAUACCUUUGCAACACACGACCCGACAUCACCUACGCCGUCGGCAUCGUCAGCAGGUAUCUGGAGGCGCCUGCAGAAUUGCAUUGGGCUGCGGUGAAGCAAAUCCUCCGCUAUGUUAGCGGGACUUUGGAGUAUGGUUGCUGCUACAAGCGGGGAGGUAAUGCAGCGCCGGAGGUGAUCGGCUACAGCGACAGCGACCACGCUGGUAACGUUGAUGAUCGCCGGAGCACGACUAGUGUGGUGUUCUUCCUCGACUCCAGCGCGAUCACGUGGAUAUCUCAGAAGCAAAAGGUCGUCGCCAUCUCGUCUUGUGAGGCUGAGUACAUGGCGGCGGCAUCUGCAGCAUGCCAGGGCGUGUGGCUGUGCAGGCUCCUUGGUGAGCUCACCGGCGACGCGCCAACGACGGCGAAGCUGCGCGUCGACAACAAGUCGGCGAUAGAGCUCAGAAAGAACCCGGUGCAUCACGAAAGAAGUAAGCACAUUGACAUACGAUAUCAUUUCAUUCGUGAAUGCAUUGGAGAUGGCAAGGUGGAUGUCGACCAUGUGGGCACUGACGGACAGCUUGCUGAUGUCCUCACCAAGGCGCCGGGCAGAAUCAAGUUCAUUGAGCUUCGACAGAAGCUCGGCGUCGUUAAGGUGAUCUCAGGGCACAAGGAUUAGGGGGUGAAUUGUUGAGCCUGUAAUCCUUUGCCUGUUAGGAUAGUUUUUGCUUUCAGUUAGCUGAAUAACCGGCUCUGACUCGUGUGCAUGUACACGCAGAAGCUGUUUUCGUUUUCAGUUAGUAGCUAGCUAGAUUAGUGCGGCCGUUGUGAGCGCAUGGGAUGGCAUGCAGCGUAGGACUCGGCCUGCACUCACCUCGCGCACGAGGGGCGACGUGGGAUGGCACGUCCGGUAGGCUCGGCGGCGUGGAGGGUUUUUCGUUUCCCAGUUGAUGUACAAAUAAGCUGAAGAUUAAUGAGAAAAGCUGCUGAACUGUGCGCAGCACAAAAACCUCUGGCGUUUUCGUUUUCCUCUCUUUUCUCCGCGGCGAUCGUGAUCUAGGCCUCGCCAGAGCUCUCGGCUCCAACAUGCGAGGCCCGGGCUUGGAGUACGGCUGGUCUGCUUAAGGGCGACCUCUCCUCCUUCCUUGGGUCCCUAGCUAGGUGGGUAGCGGGCGAAUAGUUGGCUAGCUUGUGGGUGGAUGGGGAGUCCGCAUGUAUUGUAAUCGCAUGUAAGACUCUGGCGGAUGGGGCUCUUUACCCCCUUUCUCUCUAUAAUAUAUGAUACACACGCUUGUGUGUAUCCUCAAAAAAAAAGCAAUAUUGCAUUUUCCCUUAUUUGGUUAGUUAGGCCAACUGAAUUUACUUACCUGUGUCCCUAACAAUCUAUUCCCUUCCUUUGUAGAAUAUUGCGCAUCACGACCAAUUCAGGCCAUGGAGAGAUGAUUUCAAACAGUACAAAGUUACUAUGGUAGAAAUAGAAUGAGAUCACAAACAGAAUUACAGAAGAGUUUGUGCUUUCUCGAUUGGGGUGUCACAGCCCCAGUUUCUCCUUGUUUUACUAGUUUGGUCUCCAUUGUGCAUCUUACACUGGUUGCUAUUGUUAUUUUGUCUCCAAAAACGUAGAGCUGAUGCUACCAGAAAGUAGUAGCAUAUCACUCCCCAAAAUCAAUUAUCUACAGACAGGGGUAUACCAUAGUUUGCUCAGCCUUUUCUUUCAGACAGAAGGUUUAUGGACGACAAUGUAUUGUUUUUAUAUGUGCAACUGCAGUCAUAACGUUGGAGUGCUCUCUGGUUCAUGCAUCUUUCUCAUGGAAGAGCAAGUGUGUACAAAUCAGCCUUUGGAUGGGAAAACCACUUUCUAGCGGAGUUAUAUACAUCUUUUUCUUUGAGUGAAAUAUACGUCUGUUUACAUCUGGGAUCUAGCUGCUGUUGAAUUUGACGUGGGGUUUGCCCAUGCUGAAAUUGAGCACCCUAGAUCUCAUGACGUACCUUUUCUUUUUUGACGGAACCUCGCUGUGCUCCUGAAGAAGAAUAUAUAUAUAGUUGGCUCGAUUUAUACAGAAAACUAGCUUGAAAAAGCAUACAAGGAAUGAUUGAGUAAGGGCCGAGCAUGCAAAAACCCUGAUAACGAAAAGAAAAAGAAAGAUCACCGGCCAAACUUGAC
rnacentral:lncRNA from 1 species